CAGCAGCCACGGUAAUACGAAGGGUGCAAGCGUUAAUCGGAAUUACUGGGCGUAAAGCGUGCGUAGGCGGUGAGUUAAGUCUGCUGUGAAAUCCCCGGGCUCAACCUGGGAAUGGCAGUGGAUACUGGCUCGCUAGAGUGUGUCAGAGGAUGGUGGAAUUCCCGGUGUAGCGGUGAAAUGCGUAGAGAUCGGGAGGAACGUCAGUGGCGAAGGCGGCCAUCUGGGACAACACUGACGCUGAGGCACGAAAGCGUGGGGAGCAAACAGGAUUAGAUACCCCCGUAGUCCCUGUCUCUUAUAC
rnacentral:rRNA from 1 species